AUGCUGCGCGAGAAACGAAAAAAUGAGUCGGUCUCUCAGGAGCUUCGGCCCAGGUAUGAAUAUGCAGCACCGCAUUAUACCCUGGGCAGAUGAUGGACUUGUGCUCUAUAAUCACUAUCUGUCAAAAUAAAAACAAAAGAAAAGCCUCAGAACUAUCUUCAAUGCUCUAAAGGCAGUACUGGAAAACAGUGUAAGGAGACAACAGAAGAAAGUCUGCUGAACACUUAAAAAUGCCAAUGGUUUGUCUUAAACAUGUCAAAUGUUCUAGACAUGAAAAGGCAGGCAGAUACGGUAGCGAGUCUGCACUCACUCAGGAGGAGGAUCACCGAGUUUGAGGCCAGUCUGGGAUUCCUGGUGAGUUCAAGGCAGCAAGCAAGGGCUACCACAGCAAGAACCUGUAGACAAACCAAUGCAAGCCGAAGCACCUGGGCUCCAGGAGCUCAGAACGUGGAAGUACAAGUUGAGUCCAAGAGUUCAAGUAAAGAAAGAGGUGUAGAGGAGGAAGAGGAGUGGGAGACAACAAAGAAACGGUUCAAAGUCAUCUACACCAGGAAGAGGCAGCUCUUGAAACUAGAGCAGUGCCUGGCACGAUUCUGCUGCUCUGAGACAGAUGAUUGGUGAUAACGACAAAAUCCAUGGCCAGUUUUGGAAAAGGGUCUCGAAGAGAUUGAUAAAAUUAAGUUACAGGAUCUUUACUGUCAUUAAAUUAAGCUUUGAAACCA
rnacentral:lncRNA from 1 species